GGGGGGAGGCCGGAUCCUGGGCUGUGUCCGGUCGCCCAGUGCUCCCGGGGCCUGCGCUGUUUGAUUCGUGCUCCCGGCCGCGCAGCCCCCU
rnacentral:pre_miRNA from 1 species